GUGGGGAAUCUUGCGCAAUGGGCGAAAGCCUGACGCAGCCAUGCCGCGUGAAUGAUGAAGGUCUUAGGAUUGUAAAAUUCUUUCACCGGGGACGAUAAUGACGGUACCCGGAGAAGAAGCCCCGGCUAACUUCGUGCCAGCAGCCGCGGUAAUACGAAGGGGGCUAGCGUUGCUCGGAAUUACUGGGCGUAAAGGGCGCGUAGGCGGAUCGUUAAGUCAGGGGUGAAAUCCCAGAGCUCAACUCUGGAACUGCUCUUGGUACUGGCGAUGUUGAGUGUGAGAGAGGUAUGUGGAACUCCGAGUGUAGAGGUGAAAUUCGUAGAUAUUCGGAAGAACACCAGUGGCGAAGGCGACAUACUGGCUCAUUACUGACGCUGAGGCGCGAAAGCGUGGGGAGCAAACAGGAUUAGAUACCCGUGUAGUCC
rnacentral:rRNA from 1 species